UACGUAGGGUGCGAGCGUUAAUCGGAAUUACUGGGCGUAAAGCGUGCGCAGGCGGUUUGUUAAGACAGAUGUGAAAUCCCCGGGCUUAACCUGGGAACUGCAUUUGUGACUGGCAAGCUAGAGUAUGGCAGAGGGGGGUAGAAUUCCACGUGUAGCAGUGAAAUGCGUAGAGAUGUGGAGGAAUACCGAUGGCGAAGGCAGCCCCCUGGGCCAAUACUGACGCUCAUGCACGAAAGGCGUGGGGAGCAAACAGGGAUUACGGA
rnacentral:rRNA from 1 species